rnacentral:rRNA from 1 species
CCUACGGGAGGCAGCAGUGAGGAAUAUUGGUCAAUGGGCGCGAGCCUGAACCAGCCAAGUAGCGUUAAGGAUGACUGCCCUACGGGUUGUACACUUCUUUUAUAAAGGAAUAAAGUGAGGCACGUGUGCCUUUUUGUAUGUACUUUAUGUAUAAGGAUCGGCUAACUCCGUGCCAGCAGCCGCGGUAAUACGGAGGAUCCGAGCGUUAUCCGGCUGUAUUGGGUUUAAAGGGAGCGUAGAUGGGUGGUUAAGUCAGUUGGGACAGUUUGCGGCUCAACCGUAAAAUUGCAAUUGAUACUGGCAGUCUUGAGUACAGUUGAGGUAGGCGGAAUGCGUGGUGUAGCGGUGAAAUGCUUAGAUAUCACGAAGAACUCCGAUUGCGAAGGCAGCUUACUAAACUGCCACUGACAUUGAUGCUCGAAAGUGUGGGUAUCAAACAGGAUUAGAUACCCUUGUAGUC